GAUGAACGCUGGCGGCGUGCUUAACACAUGCAAGUCGAGCGAAAGCGCGGCGUUUGUGCGGGGCGCGCGUGGCGAACGGGGGAGUAAAACACGUGUGUAUGCCCCUCCUGUCUGGGUGAAAUUUCGAAAAAAGUGGGGAUAACACACGAGAGGAUCUUGUGCAACGGGGGGGGCGGUAGAAAUUGUCGGCUGUGGGUGGUCGUCGCGCGGCUUACCAGCUUGUUGGGGGAGUAGUGGCUUACCAGGGCUUAGGCGGGUAGCCGGCGUGAGAGGGUGACCGGCCACAUUGGGACUGAGAUACGGCCCAGACUCCUACGGGAGGCAGCAGUGGGGAAUAUUGCACAAUGGGCGGAAGCCUGAUGCAGCAACGCCGCGUGCGGGAUGACGGCCUUCGGGUUGUAAACCGCUUUCGCCUGUGACGAAGCGUGAGUGACGGUAAUGGGUAAAGAAGCACCGGCUAACUACGUG
rnacentral:rRNA from 1 species